CAGCUACUCCCUCCGUUCGCAAAUACUUGUCACCAAAAUGGAUGUAUCUAGAACUAAAAUACAUCUAGGUACAUUCAUUUCUCCGACAAGUAUUUCCGAACGGAGGGAGUAGAUA
rfam:Triticum aestivum genome assembly, contig: Triticum_aestivum_CS42_TGACv1_scaffold_485945_6AS